GUACAAUGAAGCCUUGACUGAAGAGACAGCCUCCGUUUGUCUGCUCUCAGUUUACAACAUAACUGUGUCAUAGUUAUAGUUGUAAAGGGAGGAGACAAAAGUAGGAGGAGUACUGGGAGAAAAACACGUUGUUUGUUUCAUUUCAGAGCCAUACAUAACUGGGUCAAGGACUUUAUUUUACUCUAUUUUAAACUUUAUUUUAGGGCUACGCAGUUGCACUGAUCACAACUAUGGAUAUAAACAUGCUGCUCCUGUUUCUAUUGCUGCUGCUCUUUGGUUCUCAGGCUAACCAUUUCUUUGGGACAGUGAUGACUUUUACCCCCAAAGACAAGACACAUAAUGGCUCUCUCAUGGUGGUCUUUCACUACAAGCUGAGCUUUCGCUCAUGCACCGAUCAAGACACGUGGAGCUGUGUCAGCGGUGACUGUGGUACAGAAAGUGUGGAGCUGAGCAUUGUGGAUGAGGAGGACAAAGAGUGGUGUCAGAGGGAAGGAGUCAUGUCUCGGGAAGUUUCCAGCAAUGCUGUGUUUCAGCUACGAUUGGAUGGCGGUGACUGGAUUCAAACCAAAAACAAGGUGAAGAAAUGGAGAGCUCUGACUAAUGUGGACCUGAGGACUCGUCUCGACACUAAUCAGCCAAACAAGUCACCUCAGACCACCAUCCUGCCAGCCCUGCGAGUCCCUUCAAACUGUCAAAGAGUCUUCACCCUGUCGGCCUUUGACCCUGAUGGAGACAAGGUUAAAUGCAGAUUUGGAGACAUAGACGCAGAUGAGUGUAAUCCUUGUACACCACCGUCUGUUCUGACCAUCUCACAAGCUUGCACAUUGUCAUUUAAUCCUGUCAGCAGGCAAGAUGAAGGUUCAUAUGCAGUACAGCUGGAAAUGGAGGACUUCCCAAAAAAGACUAUCAUCAUCAGUGAUUAUGGUUUUCAGACAAACAUCACUCCCAGCGAGGCUCUCAGCAAAAUACCAAUCAGAUUUGCUCUGAUGGUGGACUCUCCUGCACCAUCAUGCUCAGAGGGAGUCUACCUGCCCAGGUUUCUACCUCCAACCCCAGCCAAUGGGGCUCGCAUGUACACUAAUGACACAGUGAACAUUACCAUUAUGGCAGAGGUGAAAAACACCAUGGUUUUAAAGCUUUUGUUCAGUGGACCGCACAAUGUUGUAAAACACAAUGAAUCACAUGGAGAAUUUAUCCUGACUUGGACGCCAUCUGAGAAUCAAGAUGGAGAAGAUCAUCCCGUCUGCUUCUUAGUCCAGGCAGAGAAAGGUGCAGCCAAAUAUCAGUCUGAGCUACGAUGUGUGAUUGUGAGCUAUCGCACAGAACCAGUCAUCACAACAUCUAUGCCAACAACCGUUCUGCUUUCAACUACUCCAGCGAGCACGACUACUGUAACCAAAACAGAAACACUGAGCAUAUCAACUAUGGUGGCAGAUGAGCCCAAAGCAUCAGGUGAUGACAGCAGUCGUGCUGGCAAAAUUGCUGGUGCUGUGUGUGGGGCUGUAGGUGUUGCAGCGACCGUUGGCAUUGUGGUCUGGGUGGUGAGAGGAAGUCCACACGCGUUCUAUAAAGUAGUCUAAUGGAAGAAGAAAGAGAUUAAGGAAAAACAAAACUGGCUAUAAAAUCUAGAGAACUUGGGAAAAGGAUAUCACAAACGUUGUUACUGCACAUUUUUUUUCUGAGUAAAUAAUCACAUUUCUACUUAUGUAUAUACUAUAUGAUAUAGAUGCAUAUUGUUUACUGAUGAAGAAUCGCACCAUCGUGUCAAUCUCCAGUGUACUGAUAUUAGUCUUUGGCUCUAUCUGGUGGUGGAAUGAUGGCAUGACAUACAUGUACAGAGUUGUAAAUAAAAGCUACAGAGAGCAGCUUUUAGAUGUGUGUAUUUCAUCCUUUAACAUCUUACAGACUUAAAUGUAAAAUACAAAUGAGGCAGGUUUAAUAUGUACAGAGAAAAUGGUUGGAAGUAAGGCACUGAGGUUUGAAGCCUGAAAAGAAAAAAGAAAAGUUCUUAUAAUGCACCUUUCUGCUACAACUGAGCACUAAAAGCACUUUAGUUCUGUUGCUUUAUUGUUUAUGUUUUGUGAUCUGGAUGGUGAAGGAAAGUCAGGGCUGUUAGGGCUGACAAACACAUCUUUUAACCCUGUGAGGUGGAAAUCAGUGCCGGUGAUAACAAUAAACCUAAUAUGACCAGAAUCUCAUCAUUUAGACAAACACAAAACAGCCAUUAUCUUUCUCUUAAAAUGUAAAUAGUUUUUGAAUGUUUGUCACUUUAGAUUUUUUUUUUUGAGUGCAUACAAACUAUAGGGGUUUGCUCAUCUGCCUUCACAUGCAUACAAACUAUAGGGGUUUGCUCAUCUGCCUUCACAUGCAUACAAACUACAGUGACAUCUCAUUCUUUAGUCAUAGGGCUUCAACUCUUCUGGGAAGGCUUUCCACAAAGUUUAGUAAUGUAAGAGUUUUUGAUCAUUAUUCCAGAAGUGGAUUUGUGAGAUCAAAAACUAAUGUUUGAUAAGAAGGCCUGGUUCACUUAACUCUAAUUCAUCCCAAAGGUGUUUUCUAAGAGGCUGAUGUCAGGACUCAUCCAUGUAUUUAUGGAGCUUGGUUUGUGCUCUGGUGCAAGUCAUGUUGGAACAGGAAGGGGCCAUAGCCAAACUGUUCUGACAAGGUUGGAAACUUAAAAUGGAAACAGCUCUAGAAUCCAUUGGCAAUGUGCUUUUUGCCACUGCAUCCAGUUACGUUCCAAUACAUCUCUAGAUAGAUAGAUAGAUAGAUAGAUAGAUAGAUAGAUAGAUAGAUAGAUAGAUAGAUAGAUAGAUAGAUAGAUAGAUAGAUAGAUAGAUAGAUAGAUAGAUAGAUAGAUAGAUAGAUAGAUAGACUUUGCUUAUAGGUGGUAACCCAAACCCCACUGUGCCAGUGUGUGUGUGUGUGUGUUUGUGUGUGUAUUUUAUUCAUUUCUAUGUUUAACAUUAAAUGUCUGUACUAUUAAAUCAUUUGGAUUGCUUGUAUUAAGAGAAAACCAGCAGAUGGUGCUAAUUCUAUUGGUUACCUCUGGCCAAGCUGUAAUUCACAUUCUUUGCUGGAGCAAGUUUGACAUUUGAUUUGUUCUGAGAAUGAGUGCGAUUUAGUGAGUCUUUUAUAAGAAUAUGAGAAUGUAGAUUAAAAGUGUAUCACACAACAGAAACCUAAGAGUGUUUCAUAUUAGCGUUUUUGCAAAUCUGGCCAAAUUUUUCCACAGGAAGUGGUUUCAGUCAGACAGACUUGCCCGUGGUUUACAUUUGUAUUUGGCACAAUGCAGCUGUGAUUGUGUUGACCAAGACAUAUUGUUAUAUAAAAU
ensembl:lncRNA